UACGGAGGGUGCGAGCGUUGUUCGGAAUUACUGGGCGUAAAGGGCUCGUAGGUGGCCAACUAAGUCGGACGUGAAAUCCCUCAGCUUAACUGGGGAACUGCGUCCGAUACUGGAUGGCUUGAGUUUGGGAGAGGGAUGCGGAAUUCCAGGUGUAGCGGUGAAAUGCGUAGAUAUCUGGAGGAACACCGGUGGCGAAGGCGGCAUCCUGGACCAACACUGACGCUGAUGAGCGAAAGCCAGGGGAGCAAACGGG
rnacentral:rRNA from 1 species